rnacentral:rRNA from 1 species
CUAACAGAGAUCAUUGUUAGUAAAGCCUGCUCAAUGUGUAAUAAAUAGCCGCAGAACCCUGUGCUAAGGUAGCAUAAUAAUUUGCCUUCUAAUUAAAGGCUAGUAUGAAAGGUAUCACAUAUUGAUAACUUUAUUAAUUUGAUAAUUUUAAUUUAACCUUUUAGUAAAAAGGCUAAAAUACCCUAGGGGGACGACAAGACCCUGACAAACUUUACAUUAAUGUUGUGCUGGGGCGGCAAGAAAACACUAUCUUUUUAAACAAAACAAAGCAGAAAAAUUCUAUGUUGCAUUCAAGUUACUGCAGGGAUAACAGCAUAAUUUUUUCUUAGAGAUCUUAUUGAAGAAAAAGAUUGUGACCUCGAUGUUGAAUUAGGUAUCUAUAAAGAGCAAAAUCUUUACAAGUAAGUCUGUUCGACUUUUAAUAACCUACAUGAUUUGAGUUCAGACCGGCGUGAGCCAGGUCGGUUUCUAUCUCCUUUUUAAAGUUUUUAGUACGAAAGGAACAAAAUUUUAAUACUCAAUUAC